CUCAGCACCGUGUUUUUGGUCCAGAAGAAAGGGGGUCAGAUGCGCCCUGUUAUCAAUUUACGGGCUCUGAAUGCGAUUGUCCAAUAUCGCCACUUCAAGAUGGAGGGCAUCCAUCUACUCCGAGAUCUCCUCAUGCCGGGCGAUUGGUUUGUGAAACUAGACCUCAAGGACGCUUACUUAACAGUACCUGUGUCCGCCCCAUCCAGGGACUUACUGCGUUUC